GCUGAAUUGGCUUAACUGGUAAAGCAGUCGUUUUGUAAUCGACAGUUAGUGGUUCGAGUCCACUAUUCAGCA
rfam:Sugiyamaella lignohabitans strain CBS 10342 mitochondrion genome.